rnacentral:rRNA from 1 species
UACGACGGGGGCUAGCGUUGCUCGGAAUUACUGGGCGUAAAGGGCGCGUAGGCGGAUAGUUUAGUCAGAGGUGAAAGCCCAGGGCUCAACCUUGGAAUUGCCUUUGAUACUGGCUAUCUUGAGUUCGGAAGAGGUAAGUGGAAUGCCGAGUGUAGAGGUGAAAUGCGUAGAUAUGCGGCGGAACACCAGUGGCGAAGGCGACUUACUGGUCCGAGACUGACGCUGAGGCGCGAAAGCGUGGGGAGCAAACAGG